rnacentral:rRNA from 1 species
GACGAACGCUGGCGGCGUGCUUAACACAUGCAAGUCGAACGAUGAAGCCCAGCUUGCUGGGUGGAAUAGUGGCGAACGGGUGAGUAACACGUGGGCAACCUGCCCCAAACUCUGGGAUAACCCCUCGAAAGAGGAGCUAAUACCGGAUACGAACAGGACAGACAUCUGUACCAGUUGGAAAGUUUUUCGGUUUGGGAUGGGCCCGCGGACUAUCAGCUUGUUGGUGAGGUAACGGCUCACCAAGGCUACGACGGGUAACCGGCCUGAGAGGGCGACCGGUCACACUGGGACUGAGACACGGCCCAGACUCCUACGGGAGGCAGCAGUGGGGAAUAUUGCGCAAUGGGCGAAAGCCUGACGCAGCGACGCCGCGUGAGGGAUGAAGGUCUUCGGAUCGUAAACCUCUUUCAGUAGGGACGAAGCGAAAGUGACGGUACCUAAAGAAGAAGCACCGGCUAACUACGUGCCAGCCGCCGCAGUAA